UACGUAGGGUGCGAGCGUUAAUCGGAAUUACUGGGCGUAAAGCGUGCGCAGGCGGUUAUGUAAGACAGGUGUGAAAUCCCAGGGCUUAACCUUGGAACUGCAUUUGUGACUGCAUAGCUAGAGUACGGUAGAGGGGGGAUGGAAUUCCGCGUGUAGCAGUGAAAUGCGUAGAUAUGCGGAGGAACACCGAUGGCGAAGGCAAUCCCCUGGACCUGUACUGACGCUCAUGCACGAAAGCGUGGGGAGCAAACAGG
rnacentral:rRNA from 1 species